GGAAACUGGAACCGAUUUCAAGAGACGAAGGGGAGAUUGAAGUUAAAAUAAUCAAUAGUGAAAAAACUAAGCUAUCAAAUUAAUCGGCGAUAAAUGAAACAUAAAUGUGAUUUGAUCCAACGAAAAAAAAAAAAUUUAAAAUCGGUUAUAGAAAAACUUAAUUUUGUGUAUGGUAAACUCUGCUCUAAUAUUAUUAUGAUACAAAAUAGAUAAAUGUGUCAAAUAUAAAUGCUCUAAGAGUAUCUCCAGUAGUAUAGGUAAGUUUGUUGCUAAAUUUAACAAUAGUUAGGAUAUUUAACAAUUGAAAUAGCAAUUGUGCUUCAGCAGUAAUUGCUAAGUGUAAGUCUUGCCACCUAGAGGCUACUAAUUGGCGAGUUUGAACCCAGUUUAUUUUGGUCCUCAAAACUUCAUCUCCUCUAAGCCUUUCCCUUUCUCUGUAAAUCGCCUUCAGAAACCCCGAUCAAGUGUUCUUUCUUCAUACCAUACCCAUUAUCAUUUUUACCAGUUUUUUCGUUUCAAACUUAAUCGCCUCCUUUCCUUUACCUCUCUCUGAAAUUAGCGUUCUUGACAUGAACGAUCGAAACAAACUUUACCCAUCGAUCUUUCACCUUUCUACCUUUACAAUCCUAAAGAUUCAUUCUUUCUUAAAGAACAAGAAUGUGCGACUACUUCUCCGGACCUGGUGUGGCUGACAUCGUCAAGAGCAUCAUUUGUAGGUGGCCAUUGAAGCACAUACAAAAGCUACAGUUGGUAAACAGAGAUUGUCAGAGAAUAAUUGCAUCAUCCGAUUUCGGCAACCAGAUUCUGGGCAAAGACGCCAUUUUUAUUGUAAGCCAAGAUGGGGUUUUUUGGUUAUUUAUGUACAAUCCUUGUUGCAGAAUGGAGAUAGGAGGAUUUAUACUAAGAGAAUGUUGCCUAAAAUCAAACUUCCACUACAUCUCAGUAUUAUUGGGUCCUGUUAUGGUCUAAUAUGUGUGAAUGAUAUUAACAAUGGUCUUUUUUUUCUUAACCCGAGAAACAUGAAGUAUACGAGUGUUGUUGGAUCAUCUGUUGUAUUCAAAGCUUAUGGGUUAGGGUGGAAGUACGGUGGUUAUUUGAUAUCAAUUCGUUACUUGUGGUUCUUGAUAUUAUAUCCGCUCAUGUUCAAAAGUUAAGGAUGCUGAAUCUGAAAACUAAUGAAUGGAGCCACCAGACCAUUAAUUAUGAAAAGUUUGAUUGGAAAUUGGAGUCGAUUUCAAGAGACGAAGGGGUGAUUGAAGUUAAAAUAAUCACUGGUGAAAAAACUCAUCUAUCAAAUUAAUCGGCGAUAAAUGAAACAUAAAUGUGAUUUGAUCCACGAAAAAUAAAUAAAUUAAACUCUGCUCUAAUAUUAUUGUGAUACAAAAUAGAUAAAUGUACCAAACAUAAAUGCUCUAAAGUCUUGCCACUCGAGGCUACUUAUUGACGAGUUUGAACUCAGUUUAUUUUGCCCCUCAAAGCUUCAUCUCCUCCAAGCCUUUCCCUUUCUCUGUAAAUCACCUUUAGAAACCCCGAUCAAGUGUUCUUUCUUCAUACCAUACCCAUUAUCAUUUUUACCAGUUUUUUUGUUUCAAACUUAAUCGCCUCCUUUCCUUUACCUCUCUCUGAAAUUAACGUUCUUGACAUGAACGAUUGAAACAAACUUUACCCAUCAAUCUCUCACCUUUCUACCUUUACAAUCCUAAAGAUUCAUUCUUUCUUAAAGAACAAGAAUGUGAGACUACUUCUCCCGACCUGGUGUGGCUGACAUCGUCAAGAGCAUCAUUCGUAGGUGGUCAUUGAAGCACAUACAAAAGCUGCAGCUGGUAAACAGAGACUGACAGAGAAUAAUUACAUCAUCUGAUUUCGGCAACCAGAUUCUGGGCAAAGACACCAUUUUUCUGGUAAGCUAAGAUGGUUUUUUGUUGUUGUUGUUGUUCAUGUACGAUCUCUAUUGCGGAAUGGAGAUAGGAUGAUUUAUACUCAGAGAAUGUUGCCUAAAAUCAAACUCCCACAUCUUAGUAAUAUUAGGUCUUGUGAUGGUUUAAUAUGUGAGAAUGAUAUUAACAAUGGUCUUUUUUUUCGUAUUAGAACACAUGAAGUAUACGAGUGUCGUUGGAUCUUCUGUUGUAUUCAAAGCUUAUGGGUUAGGGUGGAAGUAAGGUGGUUAUUUGAGAUCAAUUUAUUUCCAUAUACUUACGGUUCUUGAUAUUAUAUCUGCUCACGUUCAAAAGUUGAGGAUGUUGAAUUUGAAAACUAAUGAGUGGAGCCACCAGACCAUUGAUUAUGAAAAGUAUGACUGCUCACGUGCCAUUUUGUUUAAGUUUUGAUUUUAUUUAUUUUUUAUGUUUUUCUUUAAUAAUUUAUACUUGUGCAUAUUAUUUAAAGCUAAAUGCUUAUCUAAACGUGAAAAAAAGAGGACACGCGUCUGCGACCCAUGCCUUUGAUACCUCUUCCUACAGUUCCUCCUCCCUCUUCGUUCUUCCUACUUCCUACUUCCUAUACUGAACCAAAUUUCAAUGUCGGAAGAACCUCCUCCUAAGAUUGUUCUCAAUCGAGGUUGAAGACUUGAAGAGCAGUAGAAUUUCGACAGGUAAGCUUUGGAUACAAAAUUGUUAUGCUUGUAUCUUUAUUUUCCCAAUGGUAAAGCAAUUUGACAUUUGGAUAUGGAAAAAAAAUUCCCACGUUGUCAAGUGCUUAAUGUUUGAUUCUUGGUUAUUGGAAAUGCUAAUAAUAAGAUUUGGUGUGGGUUGGUGUGAGAUGCAGAAAAUGAAGGGAGAGAAAGGAGGGCAUUUUCUGUUUUUAAAGAAGUAUGUUCAAUCUCAAGGGAGAUAGUCUGAUCAUGUUCUCUUUUAUGUUUAUUAGUAUUUCAUAUUUACCAUUUUGAAUAAUGAUUCUACAAUGUAAAUCUAGACUAAGGCACCAAUACAAAACAACAUAGCUUUUCAACUAAACAUGCCUCACGUGUGAAACCAAAUCCCUGCAAACCCUACUUUGCAGGGCUCUCCUUGCCCAUGGUUAUUUGCCCAAUCCAUGCUUUUCAACUAAACAUGUCUCACCUAUCAUGGACCAUACUGUUCUGGGCUCUCCUUGUCCAUGGUUAUUUGCCUCAGAAUGCUUGGGCUUGGGCUUGGGCCUAGGCUUUGGCCUGGGAUUGGGUUUUGGCCCCUCAUGAGGUAUCUAUGUUAGUUUCUACUUAAACUGUUGUUUCAAGUUACCUCAGGUGUCAUGUUUAUGAGCCCAUGUCAGCGUUGUUGUGCAUUUUCCUUUUAUGGAUAUUACUGACUUGGUCCAGAUCGGGAGGACUCGGUUCCUUACAUAGUUGUCAGACAAUCCUAACUUUUUCCAGAUUAUUGAUUACCCAACACCAAAACAACCCAACAACUAUCAUUGAUAACCUUAAUGAGAGCUUUUGGGACUGUACGCUUAAAAUGCAAUGUCACACUUAUCUAUUAGAUUAUGGGUGCUCACGCGUCGGUUCAUCAACCCCCAUUUUCUUUGGUUUUGGUUCUUGAUUCUUGCUUUUGGUUCUCUUUCGUCAACCACAACUACUUCAUGUCUUGGAUUUCGUUGGUAACAUGUAUGGUGUUGUUUUGAGGGGGCUUCUCUUCUGGGUAGUGGGUUAUCAUAUGACAUGUGUAUUGAGAUUUGAUUGACAACAAUUACUCGGGCAUCAAUGCUCCGAUUUAGUACUCUUCACUACUUCACAACAAUUAGCGGAGAUGACGACCACAAUGCCAGCGAGUGUGGGUGGUGGGUGUGGUUGAUUGAUUGAUAUUGUUGCACUUAUGUUUUAUGUUGUUAGACAUCCGGUUUCUAGUUUAACGAGUUGUUGGUCUCCUCUCACUCUUUCUACUUUGAUCGAGUUGGAGACACAUGUUCUUUGUUAUUUGCAGUUUUCUCGGCCUUGUGGUUGCAGGUCUUACAAUUGGGUUUGCCUCUUGAUUAAUGAAUUAUCCAUUUCUCACAAAAAAAAAAACAAAAAACUAAGCACCAAUGCCUAGUGGAUAGAAUGGGAGAUUGAUUAUGUAUAAUUCAGAUUAGCUUUUAGAGAAGGGUAAAAUAAUAUAUAGUCCUUGUGAUUUAAAGUCGAUAUCUGUUUAGUCCUUAUAGUUUUAUUUUAAUCUGAAUAGUCCCUAAAGUCUUGAUUUUUCAUCCAAAUAGUCCUUAUGGUUUUAUUUUAAUAUGAAUAGUCCUUAAAGUCAUGAUUUUUCAUCCAAAUAGUCCUUAUGACCUUUAACUGAAAAGACUAUUUGGAUGAAAAUCAUGAUUUUAAGAACUAUUUAGAUUAAAUAAAGGGAUCCCUUGCAUGCCUUGGGGUAUGCAUACCUCGUCUAGGUGGCAUUAACUCUGUUAGCUGACUCACUACUAACUCACUAACUCCGUUAAGUUUAGUUUUAUUUUUNNNNNNNNNNNNNNNNNNNNUAUCUCUCUCUCUCUCUCUCUCUCUCUCUCUCUCACACACACACACACAAAAACACAUCGAAAACCACAGCAACCCUGCUCAGUAGCUACGAAGUCACUUACCACUGCUUAACAUCUCUGAAGUCGACCUAGGUCAUCGGAAGAAGUAAAGAACGCCAGAAAGCCUUGUCGGCAUCACCGCAGCAGCUCGCCGGAAAACUCAAAAUCGAUAGUAAAGGGGUUAUUAAGAUUUGUAAAAGAUUCGAGGGAUUAAGGGCACUAGGGUGCAGAGAAUGAAGGGAAAAGUUUGAAUAUGCCAGUUCUAGGCCAAGUCGUCGACGGAGACGGCGGAAACAGAAGACACAAUCAGAGCUUCUCGCGGUCGAUUUGUCUUUGAAUCAGUAUGUGCAAUUCACGGGCUGUGUUAUGUAGAGGGGAAAGAGAGAAGAAAUUUGAUGGUGGUUUUGUGGAGAAUGGAGGCCAGAGUCGGCCGGGCGGUGUCGGAGAAGACGGCCAGGGACGGAGAGCUGCUUAGCUCUUGUCGUACGCGAGAGAGGAGUGCUUGACCCGAUUUGGGUCAGUUGACCUUGGUUGGGUUUUCAAAGAAGGAAUCAACGGUCAGGAUUAAAAGAGAACGAGAUCAAAAUGGUCUGCCUGUUUACGAAGACUAACAUACCUGUUUUGUGAACAUGGUGUAUAAGCUGUUCAAAUCAUUGUCUCACACUAUGAGUAGAGCAACUCUAAAGAGUCCAGAAUUCACACACACUUGAAGAAUUCUUGAGAGGUCUACCUGUUUACGAAGUCUAGUAUGCUUAUUUACGAGUACGGGUCUACUUUUUUUGUGAGACAAAAUGGUCUACUUGUUUACGAACACAUACCUACCUGUUUUGUAAACAUGGUCUACCAGGUUUCUGAAUCAUUGACUCAUGCUACGUGUAGACCAACUCUAAAAAGUAUAGAAUUCACACAUACACUUGAAGAAUUUUUGAGAGGUCUACCUGUUUACCAAGCCUGGUCUACUUAUUUACGAGAAAUUGUCUAUUUUUUUGUUGAGAUAAAAUGGUCUAUCUGUUUACGAACACAAACCUACCUGUUUUGUAAACAUGGUCUACCAGGUUUUCGAAUCAUUGUCUCAUACUACAUGUAGACCAACUCUAAAGAGUCCAGAAUUCACACACACUUGAAGAAUUCUUGAGCGGUCUACCUGUUUACGAAGUCUGGUCUGCUUAUUUACGAGUACGGGUCUAUUUUUUUUGUGAGACAAAAUGGUCUACCUGUUUACGAACACGAACCUACCAGUUUUGUAAACAUGGUCUACCAGGUUUCCGAAUCAUUGACUCAUGCUACGUGUAGACCAACUCUAAAGUGUCUAGAAUUCACACACAUUUGAAGAAUAUCUGUUUAUUUUCAAGUAAAAGUCUACGUGUUUUCCUACUUUCAUGAGACAUUUUCUCCUAUAAAGGUAGACGUUUCAGAUGGUCGUAUUUCACAUUGUUACGAAAAUGUACUGGUCUUAUAGGCAAAGUCUACUCAUUUUGUAAACAAAGUCUACCCGUUUAACGUGUCGAGUCUACUACAUUCAUGAAACAUAUGCUCCUAUAAAAGUAGACAUAUUAUAGGGUUGUACUUCAAAGUGUUACGAAAUGUACUGCUCUUAUAUGCAAGGUCUACAAAGUCUACUCAUUUAAUAUGCCGAGUCUACUUUUCAUUAAACAUUUUAAAAGGUUGUUCCACUAACUCUUCUACUUUCAUUUUAUUGGUUCUUAGACAUUUUCGUAAGAUAGUUGCUCAUGUAGACUUUGCAUACGAGAGUCUACUCCAUACAUAAGCAUACAAACACAAAUGCAACCAGCAACAUUGGGUCCAAUAACACUGGCUAGGCCUCUCUUUCCUUUCCUCUUCUCAGCUACCCCCUCAGCCUCCUUUUGAGCCAUUCUCACCUAUGCCAUUCUCUAUGCUAACAAGAUAAAACAUAAAGCAUAUCAGAUGCUAUCAAAAGCAGAACAACCUAGCUUAUUGCGAAAUGAAGUUACCAUUAAUAAUGCUAGUUGUAUAUGCCCUGAGCGAUAUGAGGUCGUGGAUAUAAAAGGUGUAAACUAUGAAAUUAAAUGAAAUUAAUACUAGUGGUAGCACCUUCUGAUAAUGCAACUAUAGAAGACCAAGUUUUGCAUUUCAUGGGCAACAUCUCCACUCCAAAGUAAAGUGCACCCUGUAAAUGCAAUCAUCUCAAUAAUGGCUAGAGUAUGAUUUGUGAACAAUUUAAGACUAUACAAAAAAAAGAUAAUUAAAUAAGAGAAAUAAAGCUCGUUGGAUCAGGACUAAUACAUAAAAGAAAAAAGCUCAAAUCCGGAUAAGUGGAAAAGGAUUGGAGAGGGGCUAGAAGAUUGGAACAAGGAAGACCCCUGACUCGGAUUUAGUUUUGACAAUUAAUCAAGAUUGGAGCUUUACCUUAACUUGAGAUACAUAGGACAAGCCAGCAGCUUCUAAGGUUAACUGAAGUCCAUGGAAAGACCAGAUCGGUAAAUGAGCUAUUGAAAUUUUAGCAAGCAUAUAAAUUGCUCACAUUUGAAGGCUACUAAUGUUGACAAUGCCAUGCCUCCUGCAUUGCAGGCAAAGUACGUAAGGACAAUGAGAAAAUGUGUGAAUUUCUCAAUUAAGAUACAACAUUACUGUUUCAUUUUGUAUUAAGAAAAUAAAAAAUAUGAUAAGUUAGCAACCUAAAACAAAUUUAUCAAGUACUUUUUGGCAUUGCAAUUUGAUUGCACCAAAUAUAACAGCCCCAAAAAUCUGCUAUCCUAGUACAAUUAAUUAUAUGAUGCACAACUUAAAAUGAAGAGAGCCAGUUAACAAAAAGCAAAUGAAAAUCCAUAAUCAAGUACCUAGAAGUCGAUGAUCUUUAUACAAAACACUAAUCUCCCUAAACUUUCAAUUGGAACAAAAGCAUCAGAAGAUCAUGCAAUUCAGACAAUUAUGAUAUUGAACUCAAUAAGACAAACAAAAAAAAAAAUUAAAUACGAAGAAAGUAGCCAGCAAACUAAGCAAUUUCUUAUUAUUUUCUUCUGCUUCAUUAGAGCGCGUUUUGAGUACUAAAGCUAAAGUUUUGCAGACUGCUGUGAUUGUUAAUCUAGUGCACCUUAUCCCCCUACUAAAACUUCUGAACCAAUUGGCAGAAAACUAUGGUAAUUGUUUGAUAUAUUCUGAUUACAAGCAAUUUUGAAGCAGCAGCCAGCAAACUGAAUUUGGACAUACUGAAGAAGAACUAAUACUGAAUUCAAACAUUAGAACCAAAUAUCAAUCUCAUUUCUAAACCAAAUUCAUAUCCCAACAGAGAGGUCUAGUCCUUACCAACUUUUCUAUUACAAGUACUAGAAUCUGUUUCUGCUACUUAAGCUCGUCUACUCUUUCACUAGCAAUCACUCAAAUCAUAAAAAACAGAACAAUUUUUAUAAUCCGCAAAAUAGAGGAUACAACGAAGAAAAACGGACGAGGGUUAGCUUACCAGACGAAAAGAAAGGGUCUCUGGUGUUCACGAUGUUGGAGGCUUGGACUAUGGGCUUUGGUGGUUUGGUGGUUUAGGAAGCGCUGAUUUCUUCUAUGGGUGGUAGUCGAGCUCCAGUUCAGCUGGAGGUUGAAGAUUGUAGGUCAACGGUAACCCAGCUCCGGUAACUAUUCCGACGAGGCUUGCAUGACGCUCUUCUGGCCUUGGUGGCAGCUAGAGCUUCCGGGUUUUGAAGCAUACCCCUCUCUGGGUUCGAUGGUGACGGCGGUGAGUGGAAAGGGUGGCUGAAAGUAGAGGCUUUCGCUAGGCAAGGUGGCUGAGCUUGUGGUGGUUGCAUGUAGUAGCAAAGGGUGCUUUCUGCCGUCGAUAUGGGUAGGGUUUUUGAUCCGGGUGAUGUGCAACAUCGAAUGGCGGCAUUGGUGAGGCGAGACGGUGACCGGAGGUGGCUUUCCGGCGCUGGCAGUGGUAGUGCGGAGAGGGGAGAGAAGGGAGAGGCGUGGCUGUGUGGAAGAGGGGAAGAAAAAAAUACGAUUUAGGGUUUCUCCUCAUUCUACUUAUAAUAACUACAAAAAACCAUUUUGCCCUUGGUCGGUAUGGAGAGAGAUGAGAGAAACAUUGCGAGGGUGAAUGAUGGGGCUUAGGGUUUAGGUUUUUUUUUGGUGUGAAAGUGGGAGGCAUUAAAUUAGUCGACUUUUAAGAUCGAACGUUAGAAAAUUGAUCUAUUUUCGUUUUUUGGUUUAAUUACGUUUAUGUUUCUAUUUGGGGAGCUAGAUGAUCGAGAUAUAAAUGUGUCUAACUUUUUACAUAGGUUCAUUGCGCUUGUUUAAAUAACCCUAAACCAAAUAUUCACUAGAUGUGACUAUUUGUUUAUCAUUAUAAACCUGAAACCAUAUAUACAUGAGAGGUGAUUUGUACUUGAUUAUCAUAAACCGUAAACCAUGUCAAUAUAUUAAAGGUGACCCUAGAGUUGACUAUUGAUCGAUCGUCAUAAACCGUAAAUCAUAUAUACACGAGAGCUUAUUAUUCUUCAUAAGCCCUAAACCCUAUAUACACACGAGAGGUAACUUGUACUCGAUCAUCAUAAAUCCAAAACCAUACAUACAAUCGGGUUGGCUAGUGCUCGAUCAUCAUAAAUCUUAUAUACACUAGGGGUGACUAGUACUUGAUCAUCAUAUACCUUAUAUACACUAGAGCUGAUCAACUAUUGGUCUCAUCAUAAACCAUAAUCUAUAAAAGUAGGAGGUCACACAUGCUUCUUUACUCUAAAACCGUAAAUCAUAAUUUAAUUGCGAAACUCCGUAGAAAUUUAUCGGGUUUUCGUCAGGUUACAAGGGUUGGUAACCAUACCUGGUAAUUUUUAAAGUUAACGUUCAUGUUCAUAUUUGAUUUUUUUUCUUGAGAGGAGACCGUUGACCCGGUCAAAGUGCUUAGCAUAAAUGAAGAGGAGACCGUUGACCGUUCAGGUGUGCUUAUUAGCAUAAAUGAGAGGAGACCGUUGACCCGGUCAAAGUGCUCAGUCAAGAGUCAACCGAACCCAGACUUCACCCAAAUUCUUCGGCCGUCUUCUCCGACACCAUCAAGCCAGCACUGGCCACCAAUCACCACCGUCCGUCCACCGAUCACUACCGUCCGACCAGCUCCGGCGAUGCCGAAUUGAGGUGGAGAAUAUCGAGUUAAGGCACUCGGGUCUGGUUUCCAACCGUGAAGAUGGAGCGACGCUGGUGGGGACGGGUCGGGUCUGUGCCUGGAGCGGCGCUGGUGGGGACGGGUCAAGUCUGUGUCGAGAGCGGCUAACGGCUAAGCACGAUGCUGCUGUGUUUGGGUGGCCAGAGUAGCAUGGAAGCUUUGCUUGGCCGGAGGGUUCACAGAUGCUACUGCGUUUGGGUGGCCAGAGCAACAUGGAAGCUUUGCUUGGCCGGAGGUGGUUGGCUAGGUAGGUUUGCAGACGCCGCCGUGUAGGACUGUCGGGGCAGAUGGGCGCCUGUCUACAUUUAAGGACACUUGAGGUCCAAUCUAGAGAGAGAGAGAGAGAGAGAGAGAGAGAGAGAGAGAGAGAGAGAGAGAGAGAGAGAGAGAGAGAGAGAGAGAGAGAGAGAGAGAGAGAGAGAGAGNNNNNNNNNNNNNNNNNNNNAAAAAUCUAUUAAGAAAAUCUGUUAGAAAAAGUUAACAGACAUCAGUUAUGUGGGUCAUGUUUUUUAAGUGAUUGUCCUAUGUGGAUCAAUAAGACAAUGACACCUUGCAAGGUAUUAAUACCCUAAGACACCUAAGUCUUUUCCUAGAAUAAAACCAUAAUGACUAUUUAGAUGAAAAAUUAUGACUUUAAGGACUAUUCAGAUUAAAAUAAAACCAUAAGGACUAAACAGAUGUCGACUUCAAACCACAAAGACUAAACAAAUUCCAAUUCUUUAGAGAAUCAUUACACAAGUAUACUUUAUUAUAUUAAUGAUAGAAAAUGGCCACUUUAGACAGAAUAACAUCUAUGUGGCAAACUGAGAUUAGACCACAUAAGAGAGUCCGGAUGAGUGCGUCCAAAUUGGGUCGGACGGAAGUUUUUUCCAUAUGUACUUGACCAUUUAAAGAAAUGAUGCGAAAUAUUUGAUUCUACUUAUUACGUGCUGCCGGCCGUGUAGUUUUUCUCUACUCAAUUCCUCCGAUGAAAGUUAAUAGGCAACCGAACCAGCUCAGUGUGUUUUACCACUUUGCAUGUCUAUUUUACUUGCUUGUUACCUAAUGGCCAUAACUGUACUCCAAAGAUGGGUUAGUUUCUCCCAGGCCGCCUAUGCUGUCAGUACAACUGUGAUUAUAUGUUUGUUGUUUUCCCCCUCAGAAUUGCCAUUAGAGAAGAGCUAGCGCUGUGGAAGCGCUGUGGAACCAAAUGAAACAACCUAUUGAUCCUCCUAGUGAGGUCAGAGUAAAGAAAUCAGAAGAAGUUAAACAAGAUAUACAAGUUAAACAACCUAUUUUUUCAUGUCCUCUGGAUACCUUAGGCGCUCCUUGCAUGUUAAUCUCUAAAGGAUUGUGUGAGUUUUGUUUGUUUGCAAGUCUAAUAUGAUAUGAGCCGUGGAGGCUGUUCCUUACAAGUCACAACAAACCCCUGACUGGCAGUCACAAACUCAUUUUUCUAGGGUGACAUUAUAUGAUAAAUCCAUGAUACACGUACUUAACAUCGGUAACUGAUUGCUAUAAACAAAGACAUGUAAACAUGUUAAUUUAAUUGAAAGACCGUCAAAUGUUAGAAUUGAGUAGAACUAUUGAGAUAUUAGAGAAUAUUAAAAUAAUAGUAUUGUUGAUUAUUGUUACGAUGGUUGAGAACACUGUAACUUUUCUAUGUUACAUUGUUGAGAACAUGCUUGCGGGAUGGUAAACUUCUAUUGUCCUGGAUAACAAUUGGUUCGAUAACAAUUGGCAACCUCGGAUAUGAUAUUGUUGGAGCCGUGAAAGAGGAAAAAAGAAUUGCAUAUGGCUUAACACCUUUGAAAACAAUCAUUUUGAAAGGAUUGAAAUCAAUAGAUUUGCUCUUCGGGAGUGGAGUUUCAGCCUCUAUGCUUUUCUGAUGAAAAAAUGUCCCGUCUCUUGUUGCUGGUUGAUAAUAACUCGUUUGCAUAAUUUGAGGCUGGAGCUUUAUGAAGAAAGGGUAUAAUCAUACAGGAAAUGCAUACAUAUAGAAUACAAAAAGAUCUUUAUAAAUUGUUCUACUUGUUAUCUAAAAAAGAAGAUCAAAAUAAAUCUGGUUCAGGAGCAGAGUUUGAGCCACUAUGCUUCUCUGAAGGAAGGACAUCUCUCUCUUUUGUUAUUGGUCAAUCGUAAAAGGCUGGAGCUUUACAACGUGGAGAACGAUAGAAUUCAGAGACAGUUUCCUGACCUUCCCACUGCCAGAUUCACGACCAAGAUCACACAUUUGAGUCCCCUGGUGAAGAUUUGAGGCAGUAAUGACGGGUAAGAAAGCCAAGAGGCAGUCUCAACCAGACAAGAGGCAGUGUGUCAAUGAGCUUUGUAAACUGAAUAGUUCUCUUAUCUUCUGCUGAGUCUGUGACUCCAUACUUUGUAAUAAGUGCUAAAUAGGUGUCUUCUGUUUGUGGUUAUACAGUUUCUUAUGAGAACCUAUGCACAUAACUGCUUUUCUAUAUAUGGAAUUUGACAGCUGAUUGUGAUGUUUUGUUCUCUUAUAAGCAAGUAUUCUGAAAGUUGUGCUUAUUUGCAUUUUUUUGUUAUGUUGGCAAAACUGGAUGGGGAAUGUCUCUGAUAAAGUAAAGAGUAUGAGGAAAAGAAAGAGUGAUUGUGCUAAUGAUUUUUGUUUGAGUUAGGAUUUUCAAUAAGACAAAAGAGAGCAUGCACAGGAAAGAGGAUAAUGAAUAUCUAUAAAUUGUACUAGAUAUCUUAAAAAAGAAGCUGCUGAGGGCUUCUGAGUUGCUUUUAACUUUUCUGUACUUGCCUCAUGUUACAAAUUUGAACCAACAAAAAUGCACUCCUACUCUAACCAAGAACAGCUUUGAUCUUUGUCUUCUGUUCUUCUGUAAGUGAAGUGGGGAAUAGAACCUCAAAUUUGACGUACAAGUCUCCUUUUUUUGAGUGAAAAUGCAAAGGCAUCCCUUCCCCUUUGAAUUUUCUGACUUCCUUGGGCUUUGUAAUUUUCUGCGUGGUUACGGACAUAAUGUCAAUUACAGCCUCCCAAAAUAUAAAACACACACAUAUAUUGCCAUGAUAUAUUGAAUUUUUAGCAAGUAUGUUUAACCUGAGAGCUUAUGUCAACCAGAUGAUCAUCCAGGUGUUCAAUGGUCUUCUCAAAGCCAACCAGAGCUUGAACCUAUAUACAAAGAAUAAGUUACUUGUUAUAUUGGAACUUUUUUGAUGCAAAGUAAGAAUAACAAAAUAGAAAUAAGAACAUUAACUUGACCCCCAAAUUUAGUGGCAUCUAUGUCAUACCAGUGUGAUGGUGAUGGUUGUAUGCAAGUCAUUGCCUUCCCUUCUGAAUCGGUCAUGAGGUGCUGUGCGGAUUCGAAACUGUAGGAACAAUGUGUUAUUUAUUUGUCAAAAUGUGGUUCAUGGAUAUUAGAACUUUACAAACAAGGUGGUAAGGUCAGAGCACUAACUUUUAAAUCUCCAGGUUCUCCAUCAAUUAUGGGUUCACCAUCCUCAUAGAAAACCACCUCCUGCAACAAAGGUUAAGAAAAUAAAGUUACUAUGCAUAACAAAUGCAUACAUUUCACUGACUUCAGUAAUUAUGGAAUAAUACUCUUCUUCUUGCCCCCCCUUUUUUUUUUUUUUGAGAUGAAUAAUUCUCUUUACUCUUAAAUUAGGCAUCUGCGGAAUAAGAUAAACACCAUGUACAUGAAACAAAACCAAACAUAUGCAAAAAUAGGAUUUGGUUUCUGUGAAUGCAAAAGGAAGAAGUAUCUAUUGUUAAGUGAUAUAACUAAAUUCCAAAACUCGAAAAAAGAAUAUGAAGACUGAAAGCUUACUUGUCCAUCUUGCAUCCCUUUCUCAAUAUCAACAGUGAUGAAAUAUCCCUCCCUUUCAUAUUUAACAUUGUUACAUUGUUCGCAGACCUGAAAGCACAUAUUAGAGUAUAUAUUAAGGUUGAUAUAGCAGCAUAACGGUAAAAGUAGAUGAUAAAGUGACAGACAAAAUAAUAAAAUUAUCCGAUGCAGAAGAGGUGGGCGUGCUUGCUUGUGGAAACAGAGAUUUUAUUUUAUUUUAUUUUUUUCCCAAAGGACAACUCUCAUUAUCAAGAAUGGAAGAACAACUUUUCUACUCAGCUAAAUAUAUGGUCAUUCUCUCCAAACCAUUUUUUUUUAUUUGUUUUAAUCACAUGGUAACAGAAGAAAUGCUUGUUCAUGUAUAUACCUGUUCUGUCAUUUGCUGGAACAUUCCUGGACCAAUUUGCCUGUGAUAUACCUCAUUUCUACAGUUACAACGUCUCUUUCCUGGUGCUGGCUUUAUAACAUUCUUCUCUCUCCAAACCUGACAAAGCCCACAUAAGAAGUCAUAAUUAGAUCAACCACAGUACACCCUUUUGGCAAACUUAAUGUCUCCUUUCUAGUAAUAAGAAUAAAAGUCAGAGAACAAUAGUAACCAGAACCACACACGCACACAUAUUCCAUGCUGUUGGAAAGCAGCCAACAAUAUGGUGUGCAGCUUCAAUAAUUCUAAGCAUAAUGUGUACAGAUAAAAAUGAUAUGCAUUGUCAUUCAGGGGAUAUAUUUAGUCUAUGGCCCAUGAUUCAGACACUUCAAAGCAAGUUACCAAACAGCAGAAUGAAAAUAUUUCCAAAUUGCAGGUGAUUGAGUUCUCAAUUGGUAGAAUAAAUAGUUGAUAUGGGUUUCAGAAAACCAUAGAACUGAGAAGCUGCAUAGGGAGGAAAGAUUAUUACCUUCAAUGAACCUCCCAUAUAGAGGUCUUCCAAUGAUGCAUCCAAUUCGAUGACUACAUCAUCGCCCUUGAUUAUUUUAUCUUCCUCUUCAGCAGAGCGUCCACCACCAAAGAAACUAGAGCAAACACUCAAAUUUCAGAUAUCGCCCUCGAAACCACAUAGUUUGCUAAUGCUAUUUUAGAGUUUUUAUUAAAGACAUUAGAUUCGUAUUUACACAGUUUGAAUUGCUGCUAAAGGAAUAUGAGCUAGUAAGCAAAGAAAGGUAUUGCAUCAGAGAAGAGGAAACAUACUCGGCGAAAAUGUCAUUGAUGUUCAUUCCCAUUCCACCACCGCCUCUUCCUCCACUGGCGGCAUGCUGUUUGAGACCGUCUUCUCCAUACCUGUCGUAAAUGCUCCUCUUCUCGCUAUCCGAAAGCACCUCGUAGGCUAUCAAAUACAACAAUGAUGAUGAUGAGUAAACAAUAGAAACAGAAACGAAACAAAAGUUAGAUAUUGGAUGGAGAAUAUAAUAAGAAUAGUACCAUUAUUGAUGUCAGCGAAUCGCUGAUUGGCCUCUUCAUUGCCCUGGUUCUUAUCGGGAUGGUACUUCAAGGCGAGCUUCCGGUAAGCCCUCUUGAUCUGCUCGUCCGAGGCUCCUUUUGGGACUUGGAGUAUCUCAUAAUAGCUCUUGCCCGCUGCAAUGGCGGUGCAGAGCGCGCACAGCACCAACAGCAGCAACUUGGCCAUUCCAGCAGGAUUUCGAUUUGAUUGAUCCAAACCAAUUCAAAUCAGAUCAAAUCAAAUCCAAUCCCUCUCGGCUCUCUCUCUGCCUCCAAUUAAAUUAGUUGGAAGGAAACUCCGAGUUGAGUUCGUUCGUUAUGGAAUUCAGGACUGUGACUCACUUUGUCAAUCUCCCAGUCUUCACUUCGAAACGUGUUUUCCUCCCAAACUAGCCAAUCAUCGUAUGCAUCUGGUUGUUCCGUCCAAUAGCUGCUCGCCACGUCUUUCUCGCUUUGUGUUUUCCUGGAACAGGCACAAGUCAAUAUUGGGCCGGGUCGAGUCAAUAGUGGGCUCAGCCCGACUAGGAGUUUUCUACCUGUAACCAUAUGCCAGUUAAACCCUACGCUUUCCGACGCCGGGAACGAUUGCAGGGUUCAACAGGUAUGUAUAUCUACAAUCUCUGAUAACAUAGGAGAAGUUUUAAUUGUUAUGAUCAUAGUGUUCUCGAAUUUGUUUAAAUUUUUCUACUUUCUGAUAACUGUGGGCUUAAAAUUAGCUUAUUAAUUUGAUUGAGAUAAAAGGUUAGGUUGGUUAAUAGAUGGAAGCUCAGUUCUUUCGGUUUCUAAAGAUCGUGGGAGUGGGGUACAAAGCAAGAGCCGAAGCUCAGGGGAAGAUGUUGUAUCUGAAAUUAGGGUACAGUCAUGAGGUUGAACUCACAGUUCCUCCUGCAGUUCGUGUCUUCUGCUUCAAGAACAAUGUGGUUUGCUGCACCGGAAUUGAUAAGAAUAGGGUGCAUCAGUUUGCUUCUGCCGUCCGCGGUUGUAAGUCGCCUGAAGUUUACAAAGGCAAGGGCAUUAUGUACAUUGAUGAAGUUUUCAAGAAGAAACAAGGAAAGAAGUCCAAGUAGCACACUCAAUCCCAACUAUCUUUGCUUCUCAGUUUAAUUACCCUCAAAUGCUUCUUCACAUUUGGUUGGAUUUUCUUUCUUGCUACUAAAUAAGCAUCACUCUCUUCCUCCCCUAUGCUUCAGCUGUGUUUCAUUUUGAUCAACUGUUGUUCGAGGGGGUUUAGCUCCUAGUUUGUAUGAUCAUGCCUGUAAUUGAAGAAACAAGCAUUGAGAAAUGUGUUGCCCGUCUUAAGUCUUGAACCUUACCAUGUUGCCGUUGAAUAGGCCAAAGUCAGUAAUAAAGAGAUUGUUCUGUAUUAUAUUCCUUUGCCAUCUAUGAAAGGAUUCCAUUACAUGUGUUACAUGUUUACUGCAAUUCUGAUUCUGACUACAGUUGAUCGGAUAUCCAUAUUAGAGCUGAAAAGCCUGAAAAUCUUAACACUUCUGAAUUCUGAUUGGGCUAAGUUGUGGACACCGAGGUGUUUGUGUCAGUUACGGAUGAACUUAGCAAGUUACUGAAGCCAUUUAGUUUUGCAUUUUGACAAAGAACAAAGAAAUCUUUCUGCUACUUCUUAGCUGUAACAAAGAUAGUAAGGUGUUCAAAUCCCAUCGGUUUCCCAUGUAGGAACAAAAUUGGACUCAAACACUAUCUGUUAUCAUUAGAAUCAAAUCAAUCAAUCAGUAUUGGUAUUGGAGAUGGAUCAUUCAACAAGAAGCUUAAGAGUUACUUAGUUUCAGAUAAGUAAUCCUAGUUGUAUAUCACUCGGAGAACAAAGAGGGUCAUUGUAUUUAACCUGAAUUACACCAAAUUAGUAUUGUGAUAGGAUUAUGCCAAUACAGUUGUUAACAUUGAGUUGUUUAAGGAUUCAGUUAUGGCACUGGAUCAGGUUUUGAUCAUUAUAUGAAGAAGGCUAAGUCUCUGUGUUAUGCAUCGUUUUUUUUUCAUUGAGUUGAAGUAUCCCCAUUGUGGUGCUUGAUUCAGAAACACAUAAGGCUUGCAUCUCCCUAUUGAUUCUCUUUGUGCGUGUGCAGUUGCUUUGGAAGGUUGUCAAGACAGUUGCAUCAAAGAUUGUAGUGAAGGGAGACUGGAGACCCAACAAAAGGUAUACUCCAAGUGAUUCUAGGAUAACUAUAUUCUGUAGAACUUAAGCAUGUUCAUGAUAAAUAUUUGAAAAAGAACCACGACUAAGAUAUUUUGAAUUCUGAAACAAAAACUGGCAGUAUUUCUCUAGAUUAGAUAACAAGCCAAGGAGAUUGUUUGCAAGGAAUUGGGCAUCAUAGAUCCAGUAAUUAACAUCCCACAUCCAAGUUAACAGAACAAGAAAUAUCAACCAUGAGUUCAUUCCUUAAUAAGCAAAAGCUACAACAAUGGAUUUUACACAUCUACAAAUCGACUAGACACAGUGUUCAAAUAAGAGUUAAAUCUCAGAAACAUUGUGCAUAUGACGAUCCAUUCAUACCGUUAAUCUGGCAACUGGUAGCUCUUCCAGCAUGAGUAUUAAGGGAAUUUCCCUACUUUAACCUUUAAGUUAGCAACUUCUGAACUUCAUGUACAGCUAGGCGAGUCCACACCCAAACAUAAAAUUAAAAAACUCUAAAGUAGCCCUAAAAUGAAUGUAUCUGUGAAUAUAUAUAGCAAAGGAGAGUAUAAAAUGGAUUGAGGUAGAGGGAGAGCGACACACACAACAUACACACUCAUUUACUUCAACACAAACUGGAAACUGCAGUCAACUGCAUCUAUAUACUUGGAUGAUUGUCUAGUGUUCACUGAAACAUGACUCAAAAUCACAUAAUACACUAACAAAUGUAGAAGUACAGAACAUACACAUUAGUCAAGCACAUAGAUCCUAGAGGCAAUGUCUUGAACCAACCAAUCAAAUCCCUCAAGCAGUCCCUCACCCGUGUAUGCACUGCAGCCAACAAUAUUCCAGUGUCGAGUUUUAUCCAUAGCCUGCAAGUUCAAAACCUAGACAAGUAAAAUAUGAACUAUAUUAGAUACUCAUGAUAGAAAAAAUAAAAUUUCACAUUGAUUUCUAUACAUAAGUUGGUUUCAUCCGGAUGGGAAAAAGAAUCUCAAAAUGUCAAACAAUAGUGCUGCCUAUAAAAUCCAUGGAAAUUAUGGGUGACGAAUUGACGAUAUUUCGUUUUAUUUUCGUUAACAGUUAAUACAACAAUCUCAAGAGCAGAGGCAGAAGAGAAUGAAGCUGUUUAUGGGUGACUGAUAAUCAAGGCAUACAAAAGCCAACAAGCAUUCCAACAACACCUUCAUUCACUUAUGAAUACAGGCGGGGCUAGAGCCUUACCUUGGCAAUUUCUUCUGGAGUAAGGGCACCUUUUAUGUCCUGCUUAUUUGCUAGUAUCAAUAAGGACGAUCCUGAUAGCCUCUGUCAUAUGAACAAAACAAGUCUGCAUCUUAGAGCAAUUCACCAUGAAUAAAAAAAAUUCCAUAGAAACCCCCUCACAACAUGCACAAAUAUGAGGCAUUGGUGAACUUGUGAGAAACAUUACUAGAAUGGUAAGUAUAAGAAAAGCUCGAAACAUGAGACUAGGUAAAGCAGCUGAAAAACACAAUGCUGUUCAGUUAACAAAUGGGGGAGAAUGGGCAAUGUCGUUACCUCUUCCUUCAAGAGAUUAUCAAGCUCCAUUUUGCAGUCAUCUAAUCUUCUAAGAUCAGAACUGUCAACCACCCAAACAAGACCAUCAGUUUGUUCAAAAUAGUUCCUCCAAUAAGAUCGUAUGGUUUUCUGACCCCCAACAUCCCAUAUGUUAAGUGUAUAUCUGUGAAAAUCAAACAAACAGCAUUUCAAUCUCUUACUCAACACCCAGAUAUAGUAGUUGUUGCAUAAAAGAAAGAAGUUUUGACUUUUGGUAAGUGAGGGUCUUGAUGUUGAAGCCGAGAGUGGGACUGACGACGCUGGUGUCCUCCCCAUUAAUCCUCAGCACAAUCGUAGUUUUUCCAGAAUUGUCAAGCCCGCUGCAUCAUCAACAUCAAAAAUCUCAGCAAAAAAAAAAAACAGCCAUUUGAAUUUGAAUUCUCCCUAUAAUUAAACAAGGCAUGACUUACACCAUGAGUAUACGUAUUUCUUUCUCCUUCCUUUUGAUUUUUCGAAUGAUGCUGAGAAGACCCAUUUCAGAUCCAGCUUCAGACGGAAUUUUACACUCUAUACACUGUCGAAACUCGAAAGAACGCCAUCAUAAGCAAGGAAGACAAUUCGGGUCUUGGGCCGGAACAUCCAAACCUGGAGGACCCGAUCCAACGUAGCCCGUUAAUCUUUGGAUUUGGCCCGCCGCUGCUUACCCAACUUUUUUUUUUUUGGUUAAAGGGAGUCGAUGUCUCUUGCUGUCCUGGUAAUCCAUUAUUGACAAUUCUUCCUUCUUUCUCGAUUGAGACAGAUAUUCUUCCUUUCUUAAACUAGGAAAACGUUAAGCCAAAGUCAUCAAACCAAACUCAAGUUAAUUUUGAAAAGAUCGAAAUUGUAAACCAAGAUCAAACACGUACCACUUAUUGAACUUGUUCAAAAUCAAGCCAACUCCACGCUUGAUACUCGAUCAGUUUAAUUGGCUCGAUCGACUUGUUUAUAACCUAGCUGCUGCUUAAUUAUACGAUCAAUACGUUGAUCAGCAGGCUGCCUCCCAAGUGUACGUAGUUAAUUUUGUGAUACUUGAAAGAUCGAGCAUGCAUAUAUGACAGGUACAUAUAUAGUAAAUGUGGUUGUUGGAUUCGGUUGGUUUGUUAUUUCUCGAUCGAUCUAGCUUAUUCAUUUUUAUUAUGAACAAGAAAGAAACACGUACGAUCGACAUCCUAGUACAAAUCAUUGAGCUGUAUCGGGUCCUCUUGUUUCUGCUUACAUGACAAUGUAAGAUUCUAAGAUGCAUGCGCGGGCGUGUGUUAAGUUCAUGUCUCUCAAUUAACCUAAACGGGUGAUUCAUCAUGAUCGAUAUUGACAACACGUACGUAUUUCUUGUUCCAUGCAUAUCGAAUGAAAGCAACAAUGAAUUAAUCACCUAAUUAUAAUAAAUUAUAUAUGUUCCCACACCGUACGUAUACUAAGUUAAUUGCUAUAUACAUGUGUGUGUUUAAGUGCCUGCUGCAUGCCAUAGAUCCCAAGCUAUAGCAGGAAGCUUGCUCUAAUUAAUCUUAGGAUUUCUUAGGAAAGCGGUUAAUGACAAACAAACCUGCAGUAUAGGCGUAACUGUGUUGUACUUUUGUAAAUGCGCAAUCAAGUUUGGUUUGUCAGAAUCCCGAUCAUAAGUUUUUUCGGAUUCAUGUUCGAUGACCUCAAGAGAAAAUUCAAACAGCAGGCAUAUCCAAACACAGACUAAUUCUUAUGAAAGAAAAAUCCAUAUGCCCUAUAAACAAGGGAGCUGGCCUAGCUAAGGCGCAUAGUUUGCGUUACAUUUGGCAACUGCGCGCAUGCACAGCAGUCAGCAAUCGCAAUACUUGAUCGACCUCACUAGGUUUGAAAAUAACAAGAUCGAACUCUCUACACACUUUCAUACUUGUUCUAUAGCUAGCUAACUAAUUAUUAAUAGUUAUAUAUAAGUAAUUUGGUACGGCCGCAAGGGUACUUCUUACGUCGUAUGGGGUACGUAGAUAAGAUAAGAAAGUCAUAACUAGAUAUAUAGAUGAACUAAGUAACAAUUAAUGAGAUAUUUUGUGGGAACCGAUCGAGGUGAAAUAUUGACCUAGCUGCAGGAGGGUGGAAUUAGAUCGGAGGUGGAGACCGAGCGAGGAGGAAGAGCUAGAAGGAGGGAUGACUGGAUGAGCCGCGUGCGUGCUUUGCGUACAUAUAUGGACGUGGGAAAUGCAAAGCCCCAUCACGAGCCUCUCGACAACGGAGAGGCCACGACUCUGGUAUUCACUUGUAGGCCGUCGUGGCACAAUCUCACACCACACUUAAUUUCUCUAUCGGAAGCCCCACCCGUCUUUAUAUCAUCUCUGUCCUUCUCGAUCGAUCAUGUCUUUCUCUCUUUGUAAAUCACGUACUUUUAUUAAACCUUGCACCUCUCUAGGUAGCCUGUCCUCACUCUUCAAGUCUACACAUACAUACUGCUCAUCCUGCUCUAGCUCAGUUGUUAAUUACUGUACCAGCUAGCUAGCUACCCUAGCUAGCUCUCCUAAUUAACUUGAUUGCUGCCGCAGAUACUGUGCGUCCUUCUAUGAUCUAAACCACAACACAAAAUUAAGCUUGAGCAUUUACUGGCAUUGCUGGGCACUAUAUAUAAUCAGUCUUGUAUUCUACAUAGAGAGAGAGAGAUAGAUAGAUCGAGUAGUUUGAACUGCGCGCUGUUAUAGCAGUACGUAGUGAUCGAUCUGUAUAUAUAGACAGAAAUGGGGAGGGCUCCGUGCUGCGAGAAAGUUGGGUUGAAGAAGGGAAGAUGGACAGCAGAGGAGGAUCAAACCUUAAUCAACUACAUCCGUGCUAAUGGGGAAGGCUCCUGGAGAUCGUUGCCCAAGAAUGCAGGUACAUACCAUAAUCACCAACACAGUGAACACAUGUUUGUAAUUAAGCUCGCUAGUAGUGUUAAACUGUUAAAUGUCUGAUCUAUCAGCUGUUCAGUUUUUGCAAGUUCAAUCCAUAGAUCGAGGUAGUUUGCCGGCAGCAGCUACCUCAUACAAAUAUCUCCUGGUGUGGAAGUUAAUUAAGAGCUAAUAAAAUGAAUGUGUCGUAUACUGAAGGGUUACUGCGGUGUGGGAAGAGUUGCAGACUGAGAUGGAUAAACUAUCUGAGAGCUGACUUGAAGAGGGGAAAUAUUACUCCUCAAGAGGAAGAUAUCAUCAUCAAAUUGCAUGCUUCUCUGGGAAAUAGGUAUGUGUGUGGAUAUCUGUGUGCAUUUCUUCUAUAUAUACUAGCUAUUACGUCGUACUGUUCUCACUGACUCGAUCGAUAUUUACCUUCCCGGCCGGGUUGCUGUGUUCUGAUGCAAGAUUUUAAAUAAUGCAGCAAUUAAAAUUCUUUAGUCCAUUAAUAGUAAUAUUUAGAAUACCAGAAACAGGUUGAUUGAGAAGUUGUCUGUACGUUUUUGAGGUUUUUCUGUCAAUAAUUAGACAGAAAUAAAUUUGCUUUUGUUUGUUAUGUAUAUGUUAAUAAACUUUAGGAAUAGACCGAUCGACUUCAUAAGCGUAAGGCGGUAUUCAAAUUAUUCAGUGAAAAGCUAUGUAUGAUGAAUCAUCUUAUAUUACCUUUGUUACCUACUGAUCGAUUCUUUCUUAUUGUCUUUCUCGCUCCUACUACUAAUUAAUUAUUUCUAUGACAGAGACGGCGAAAACUGAACGUACAUGCAUAUAUAUGAUAUAUGCGUGUAACGUCCUAGUUCACCAGAAAUGCUUUUUGAUUAUAUAUUAGUAAUUAGUAAUUGGUUGUGUAAAGCUUGUGUGAUUAUAUUAACUUUUUUCACACUGUCAAUAUAUUACGUAUGAUGCAGGUGGUCUUUGAUAGCUAGUCAAUUACCGGGAAGAACGGACAAUGAGAUAAAGAACUACUGGAACUCGCACUUGAGUCGAAAAAUAGACGCUUUCAGGAGACCUAUUAAUAAGAUCCAUAUGCCUUCAGCAUCAGCAGCAGCAGCAGCUAGUAGUAGCAGCAGCACCACCACCGCAGCAGAUGAAAUCAAUAUGGCGAUGAAAUUAGGACCACCCUCGUCCAAGCGAAGAGGAAGAGGUGGCAGAACCAGUCGCUGGGCCAUGAAGAAGAACAAAGUCACCUACGCUUCUACAGCCAUCAACCACCACUUGGAUUCAUGCACUCAUAAUCAUGAUGAUAAAUCGGCAACGAUGACGAGCUCGUCUUCCCCUCCACCUCCUUCCGCAGCAGCAGCAGCAGUUGCGGCUGGCACCGGACAAAAAGAAACACAAGCAUUAGUCGGAGGAGGACCAUCUGAUGGCUCAGCUGCAGGUAAAUUUGAUGACGGUGGGGAGGUGGCUUUCAAUGACUUGAUGAUGGACGUCGCCAAUGAAAUAAUAUCGGAUCCAACUGGGGUGCUGACUUUAAUUGGUGAAAAACAAAACGACGAUGGUGAUGAUGACACGGGCGUUAUUAGGGACGACGAGGACACCGGCAAACUUUUAUGUGGUCCAAAUAAAGUGAUGACUAAUGCUACUGCAGCGGCUAGUCAUGAAGAGGAACAUCAUCAGCUCGAUCAGAUUAGUGCUACUAAUUUAAGCUCAUCAUCAAACUCAAAUUCCAAAUCAAGUUAUGGAGAAGCGGAAGCAGCUGCGUUUGAUGGGGAUGACUGGUAUAAUUCAUGCUCUAAUUACUCACCAGGCUCAGCAGCUGCUGCUACUUGUAAGUUUGAUCAGCAGAAGCAGCAGCGUGAUGGAAUUAAUGGAACAGUGAAUGAUGAAAUGACAUGGGAUUGGGAGAGUGAUAUCCAUAGGUACGACUACUUAUGGAAUGUUGAUCAGAAAGAUGAUGAGAAUAUGCUCUCUUGGUUAUGGGAGCAGCACGCUGCAGAUGAUCAUCAUCUUGACCAUAGCAAUAAAUCGAGAUCAAAGGCCGUGGUGGUCGAUGAUGACUGUGACCCGGCUGACAAGCAUAAUGCUAUUCUGGCUUGGCUUCUAUCUUGAGUUCAGUUAAUUUUAUACGGACACUUGCCCUUUUGAUCCAUCGAUCUUUGUUUCUUAGUUUGUCGCUUCCUAGUUUUUCGACAAGUUCUUGCUUUCCUAGUUUUUAUAUACAACAGAAGCUUAAUUAUUAAAAGCUAGCUAGUUUUUUUUUUCCUCUAUUUAGGGUUGUGGAAAUCAUUAAAAACUCGCCCUACAGUUUGUAUGCUAGGCUCUCAUAAAGUUUCACCAUAAAUAAUUGAAUUAGGGUUGCUGCAUGUUUCAAAUAACUUUUUUUUUUUUUUUGGCGAGAUGUUUCAAAUAACUUUUAGUGAUCGAUGUGAUAUCCUAGCUGUAAAUAAACGAAGGGACCGCUGCUUGUUCCUUCCGGCCGGGGCCAACUGCGUCACAAGUCAUGAAUGUUGUAUUUACACGCAUACCUUUCAGCCUUGAUGAAAUUUUGUUUUCUAGAAGAGAGGAACGUCGGCUACAAGAAGAAAAUAAUUACCACAGACAAAAGAUAUCUUGUUCAUAUUUGCUAAGAUAAUAUGAGAAAGAAAUUGAUCCUGUAAUCUCAUUUACUUCAAUUUUUUUGUUACUGCAGAAUCAUGUUUGUUACUGAUAUCAAAACAAAAAGUUCAUAUCAUAGAUAUAAGUAUGAAGGCUCCGAAUCGAAAUUAGAAUGAAAAAUACAUGAAUUAUGACAAUUUUAUGGUGCACAUACUGACGUACGCACCAUGUUGUCAUAUAACAUAUAGAUUCGGAAAAUAGUCAUUGUGAUUGUUAAUUACAAAAGUAGUACGAAAAAGACGUGAAUUAUUAUACGUAGAUUGACAUCAUACUGUUUUAUCUGACAAAAAGUUUGAAUAUAUAUAAUGACAGUCGUGAAAUUAGAAAGAAGAUUGAACACGUGUUAUCAUAUAUAAUGUUAUACUAUACACGCGCACACACCGACGAUGUGAUUCCAAAAAUGAAUUGUGAAAUAGAAAAUCUGUUCGAGCAUGAAGGUAAGUCAAAUUAAAAGAUCUCAAUAGCUCACCACACCUCCAUGUACCUCCGCAUGUCGAUGACGGUUAGUUCGGGAGAAGCCCUAAGUAACUGGGGCUGGAGACUUAAAGAUAUGCUGUCAAUGUCAUGCAUAUAUAACUAGCCAAAGCUAGUGGCGGGACUCAUCUAUCAGGAGACAAUUCAAGAAUGGCCGGACCAGGCUGCAGCGCGGGACCCAUAAGGCAAUAACUCACUCUUACGUACUCUCUUCCAAAGUCUAACACUUCAUUAUCAGCACUUUACAAGGACUUGGACAAUUCCUCCAGGGCAUGCUGUCCUCAGGAACCAAAUUCGCCAGACGAUCAACAUCGAUCCACAUAUCCAUGCAGCUAGCGCAAUUAUAUUCAUUACCUCCGCGUGUAGGUAUAUGUCAAGCCAAUGCUCCUGUGUAGUGUAGAAUGUAGUAUCUAUUGUUAACUAGUUAUUGACUUACACUAACCAGAAUAAGCAAGAACAAGCAUACAACUAUCCAGCUGUGCACACACUCGUUGUAGUGUUGUACGUUAUAUAACAAUACUGAAAAGUAAUUGUGAUUCUUUGUGUUCAAGUUGGGAGAAACAAAAGUUAUAUAGCGUUAAUUGUUCGAUGUUGAUAGUGAUACUAUUAAGAAACUGUACAUGACCGGAGAUGAGGAUGAUUGAUUAGUAAUAAUUACUGGCUUAAGUACUGCAUGGUGAUGUUGAGGAGAAAUAUUGUGCUUAAACGUACUAUUGUACCAAUAAUAAAGAAUAUCCACGCAUCAAAACAACCGAGUUACUGGCUAUAUGACAAUAGUCUAUGGUAUGUAAUAAACAAUAGUCUAAGGACUAAUUUAAGUUUACCCUCAUCAACAUUAGAUCGAUCAUCAUGUUAGUCUUUUUUUUUUCAAUUUCAUUAAAAACACCCCUCGACUUUUAAUUUUCAUCAAUCGUGUUCAAAUAUCCGUUUUCCAUCCAAUUCUCUCAUCAUGUGAUGACGUGGCAUUAAGAAGAAAACCAAAUUUGAAGUAGCUGGGCCCACAGGAAAAUGGCAAAAUAAGCAAAUUACAUUCAAUUCCACCAAAAUCACUAAGGUUAGGAGGUUGUGAUGGGAACGAAAAUGUGUAUAUUUGUUGGUCAGCCGUGGCGUGGUUGGUUAAGGUGGUUAACUAACAACUUUGACGUCAUGGGUUCAAAUGUCAUUGACAUAUGUAGGGUGUGUGAGUUAUUUAAUAAAAAGUUUAAAAAAAAGAAAAAAAGAAAAUGUGUAUUGAUAUGGGGGGGGGGAAAUGGUUAGAAAUGUUAUUUUCAGAAUUUGACUUUCUUCUUGAUGCCACUUCAUCACAGUCAUCACUUGACGGAUGAAUUAGAUGGAGAACAGAGGUUUUGACACGACUGAUGAAAAUUGGGAGUCGAGGGGUGUUUUUGAUGAAAUUGAAAAAAGAAUGACUAAUAUGAUGAUCGACCUAAAGUUGAUGGGGGUAAACUGAAAUUAGUUCAAAACUUAAAUACCACAACAAUAGUAAGCAACAACCACACACUAAAUGGGGCCUUUAAAUUCUGGAUCCCGUUUAAAAUAUACACACAAAAGCUAGACUCAUGUGGUUAGGUUCCGGAUCCCGUUUAAAAUACAUACACAAAAGCUAGACUUAUGUGGUUAGGAGGAGCAAAGUUGCAUUCAUGUAUGGCUAGGAGGGGAAAAGCUACACUUAUGUGUGGGUUUUUUGGGAUCCGGCUCCUAAGGGCAACUCCAACAAGGAGUCAUAUUUUGAAGUCCUAUAUUCAUUUUAGGACCAUUUUUUGCACUAUUCACAUAUGAUUUAUUUUCUCAUCUCCACCAAUGAGGUGUUAUAUGGUCGGAGUCCUAUGUUCUUAUUUAUUCUUGAUAAAGAUAUAAUAAGUAGUGAAUGAAGACAUGACCUUUGUGAGGGUGUUUUUUGUGCUUGUGAAUUUCAAACAACAAAGCCCUCUUGAGUCUUGAUUAAGCGAGACCAGACCCAAAAUCUAUCGAGGGUGAGUUCUAGGAGCGAUUUUGUUGUGAUUCAACUCUAUUGUAACGACAACGAUUACAAGAACGAAGCUUGUAAAUGGAUGUGGUGGAGAGCGGGAAGCCUGUGAAGGUUAUGGAAUGAGGUUGGCAAGGUAUUAGGGACAAAAGUUUUAGAGAUGAAGUUUGAUCUCUUGCAUGAGGUUCUUUGAGGUCGCUGAUGGCUUCUUUUACAGUGAAAUUUUCCUUCAACUAACCAUUGACUAAGGUUUAAAUCUUCAAUUGCUUUGAAUUUUCUUCACAUUCAUUUCACUUGUUUAGUCUUGUAUCUAUUUUGGAUAAUGGCAAUACCAUGGGUUCUUCUUAUCUUCCUUGGUGGGAGGUUUUUCUUGCUGCAUAGGCUUGACCACCCCGCAGCAAACAGAGUAUCGAGAAUGGAACUAGGUAUCGCUAGGACAGUUCCAUAUCUUUCCUUCCUCUUCAAUUACCUUUCAUAUGCCAUUAGAGCGUGGUUUGUCUCCCUCUGAGAUGUGUCGACCUUCUUAUAUGACCUCCAACUCCUUUGGUUUGUUGUGUUUUUACCGACAUGUUUGUCUUUCUCACAGCUCUAGUGAGCCUUGAAAACUGAGUGAUGCCAAUGUUCUCUAAAUAGACUCGUUACUCUAGAAAAAUAUUGCUGAUAAAAUUUCCACGAACAACUCCUCAUCCUUCUCGUCAUAGCAAUCCAUCACUUAUUCACGAAAAUGGCAAACAAAAUUUACCAUCCCAAGUUUAUUGUCUGGUGUUGUUCAGCUGAGUAAUGGUCACCCUUUCUUCAUAUUUGGAGAUACUUCUUACAAAUCUUGUGUGCCAUUUCCUCCCAAGUACGGACAAAACGAGGAGUUAGCAUGAUCAGUGAGGGUUUUAGAAAAUUCCUUGACCUGAGGUUGUGGUUGCUAGCAUGAGAAACCAAUAGCGUUGAUAAUUCGACUGAUGUGCUCUUUUAGAAUGCCCUUUCUCCUAUCAAAAAGAGUGAAUAUAGGUGUCUCAUAUUUUUUGGAUAUGACAAAUGUGUUAUGCUUAAUGGAUAAGGAGGUUGAGAAGCAGAUUUCCAGUUUUCAGAGCUACGACACAACUCUUUUUCCAACAUGCAACAACAUCUUCUUGGGUGACAAAUGAGGAAGCCUUAUGAUUAGAUUCUUUGGUUGCGGUAGAUUCCUUAGCUGCAUUAGACACUUCAUGAAAGACUUUCUCUCGCUACUCUUCAUUAUUUGGUUGCUCCUACUACUUUGUUGCCUUGAUUAAGCUCACCAACUGCUUCAUUGUGUCAACCAUUUCCCUAUGAGAUCUCCUACAGACAUUGAGAAAGUUUGUUAUAUCUAAAGCAGUGAUUUCUUCCUCCUCCUCUAGACUUUCUUCUUACUAUGGUUGUUCUUGGAAACGGAAUCAGCAAGCUCUUGUUGCUCUUGAGAAGGCACACCAGUGUUAUUCUUCUUUCUUCGUGGUGGAGCCAUUAGCCAAAUCACAGCUUGGUCCUCAAUGAAGUCACUUGAAAUGUGAGGGUGUUUUUUGUGCUUGUGAAUUUCAAAAAUACAAACCAGGUCCAGAAUUGAUCAAGGGUGAGUCCCAAGAGCGAUUUAUUGUGUUUCAGCUUGAUUGUAACAACAAUGAUUAUAUUUCAGCAAGAACGAAGCUUGCAUAUGGAUGUGCUGGAGAGUUGGAAGCCUGUGAGUUUAGUGAGAGAGCAUGAUUUUAGGUUAUGCAAAGGUGAUUUAAUGAGAUUGGCUGGGUAUUAGGGACAGAGGUUUAAGAUUGAAGAUGAGAUUGUAAUGAGCUUCCUCGAAAGCCCAACGAGAACAUAACCCACUUAGAAAACGGGUUGCAAAAUUUUGGGUAUCAACAAAGUUCAAGGUUGAAGAUGUUUGAAGAUGAAAAUACGUCUUUUUAUAGAAUUAGAAGUUGUAUACUUUAGCUGUUGUUUCGAUUAUUAUUAUUAUUUUUUUCAAAAUUUAAUUUAGCUAUGGAAAUAACUGUCCUUGUUUUGUUGGAGGCAAACUCUCAAAUCUUAACUAUCAAUUUUGCAAUUCGUCUUAGAGAUGCUCUAAGUAAACGUUUCAUAAUUUUUACCAAGUUCCAAAUUCGUUAUUUUCAUGCAGCUCAAAAAAUCCCAUGGACUUUUAGUUUGGAGACUUUUUUUGGUCGAGAUUACAUGGUUUCCUUAAAGGCUUUUAAGACCCAAAGACUAAUUCGUGUAUGAAGAUCUUGUAAGAACCCUUCCUUCUCCCUGACCACUAAAAACAUAUUGAGAUUUACCUCUAAUCAAAGUCAACGGGUUUUAAACCUGUGUAUGGAGUUCCACACUUAGGCUCUAACCAACUCAACGACAUAUGGUUUCGGUCCAAGUCAUUCUCUCCUUGACCAAAAAAAAAAAAAAUCCAUGGAUUUUGACCCCAAAACCCAAAUGGGCUUUUGUUGGCCCACCUUUGUCCCAGGCAGACCAGUCGGGUUAAAAAGGACAUAGUCCGUCACUAAUUUUGUUUAUACAUCGAGAGUGGUUUUGACGGCGCAUUGCCAUUUCCCACUUUUGGCGCGGUUGCGCUGCCCCUGGGGAUGUUUAACCCUAAUAGGCUCCGCCUCCGAGCCAUCACCGGUAAGACUCCUCACUCUCUCUCUCUACCUUUCUUCUUCAAAGUUCAACACAUUCUGCUCAUAACGCUUUUGAUUAUUUUCAGGUAAACAUGGCUUGCUUUCACUCGCAGCACUAAAGCUUCGGUACUUACUUUCUCCCAUCAGAGUUCAUAUAUUUUCUGUGCUUUCCGAUUUCUACUAGGCGAUUUGCUUCCACUUUGUCUCAUGAGUUUGCUUCCUUUAAAUAUUAAAUUUCCAAGUUUAAUUAUUUAGAAACCUUGCAAUAUUCAUUUCUGAAGCUUCCUAGUGUUGUCAAUAAUUCAGCAAAUCCCACCGUAAUUGUUUUAUUUCUGGCUAUGACAAUUUCUAAAACAAGCCUUAGAAACUAUAAAUUUGCUCUUUGUAUGGCAGAUGUAAUGCUUGGAUAGAUAAUUCUAUCAUCCCAUUCAGUACGAGGGCAUCAUCUGGAGAUGAUGACUUCUCAGAAUUGGGAUCCCCAGUGUCUAAAGCUGCAACUAGUCUUCUAAAGUUGAUGACGGAGAAGCCUGAGCCUUAUAGUAAGGUAUACUCUGUGAUGUGUGUAUUUGGCUCGGGCUUUGUUAUUUUUCAAUCUUCCAAUGCCGUUACUCUGUAUGCUUCAAUUUCCUUGAUUAUCAGUGAAUUGAGACAUGUCACUCGUACUUACUAAUUUCAAUUUCAAUCAGAAAGCUAAUUGUAGGAAAAAACGGUUUGGAGUGCCGUUAGAAAGCAGCAACAGCUUGAAAGGUGAUUCCACAAAACUGGGUUACUCUUAUCCAACUGCCAUUCCAGGCUUCAUAACUGCAACAAUGUUUCACCGCUUUUCACAGUCUAGCGUUGUUAGUGAUAAAACCAUGCAUUAUGCAAUCAAUAUUCCUCGGUUGAAAAAAGCUCUUUCUGUUCUUACUGAAAUUCCACAUGCUUCUUUCAGGUCCAACCAAUAAGCUAGAUUCAUGUGAUAUUUAUACCUAGUGGAUGUUUAUUUCAGUCUGCUUUCACUCCCCUAUCCCCGUUUUCCAUUGUUGUCUGAUAAGUAUUCCAUGUUAAUGUUCAGAGACUGUAGGAGCAAGCAAGAGACCAGUUUUGUCUGAUGCGGUUUCUGAAAACUGCUUUGAUCCUACAAUUCAUCCACUAGGUGAUAAAGGGGCAGUUAACAUUAGGAUUACAAACAUCAACUUAGAAACCACUGAUUCCGCAAUACACUCCAUGUGUACGUCCUGUGGUAGCUUGGAGGGGCUUGUGAGAACAAAAGAGGAUGCGGUGGACGCCUUCUUUCGCAUCAAAGACAAUGCUGACAUAGACAGCAUACUUGCAAAGUAUGAAACAACUUAUAUCCUUUUUAUUCCACGGGGUUUUUUUUCAUCGUUGCUCAGCGGUUGUUACUCACUGAAUUAUACUAUAUGUUCUACUUUAGUCUAAGAGUAGGAUAAUCACUAUGGGGUAGGGGGAUGCCAACACUUAUCACCCUGAUUAUAUAUUCUUUAGAUGGAAGAGGGUAUUAUAGCAAUUCUAGGUGACGUUCUAGAUUGGAUACCUAGAGCACCAAGAACUUUACCGAAGCAUUUGUUUCAACUGAAGUGGAGAUGAUAUUCUGCUGCUACCUAUUAUUUAUUUAUUUAUUAGUUAAGUUAUGCAUGAAUAAGUUUCCAUGUUGUGUUCUCAUUUCUAUUAUGUGUAUGGCUUCCAGGUUGAAUGAUACAGUUCUGAAUGACCAUAAAUGGUCUGCUAAUUUACAUCAAAGAGAUUCCAUUCCUGCUGUGACGAGCAAGCAAAGUAAUGCAAGCUUGAAUGUGGGAUUGCAUAUAAGCCAUCAGUUGGCUGAAGUGAGACGGCAAGUCUCCAUGAAGACCGUGUGCGUAGAAGAUUUGGAGUAUCUGCAUCAUGCCUUGUUGCACCUUGAGGCUCAUCCUGACAGCAUGACUAGUAUCUCCAAGGAUGACUGAGCUUGGAAACCAUGUGAUUGCCAAUGUUUCAUAUAGUACCAAGAGAACUGUGAAAGGGACCAAAAGAUUUUGGAUGCUGAUUUUUUAUUUGUUCAAAUUGAUAUGCAGUGUCUUGAGGUUUUGUAGGAGUUUAGAUUUGUGGAUACCUCUGAAGUAUAAUGUCUCUACAAUCCGAUAAAGCAAAUUGUUCUUUCCUCUUUUGAAAGACAUCGACAAACACUCCUGCAAUAGGGCAACCUACGUUGUUCAAACACAUUUCCAGAUUCUGCAACUCUUCUAAUAAAUCCCAGCAAAUGAUUUAGUUUGCUCAGACAGAUAAAGAUACACUAAAAUUGAUUUAGAUUUUCAAGAGCAUGGUAGACGAAGGAUAAGCUGUUAACAAUGUCAAAUAAUUUACACGAGGGAAUCAUCUUUUGAACCUGUAGGUCUCGGUAAGCAACAAUUUACAUGACUGAUUUACAAUAAUAAUAUAAGAGAUGCGAAAUCCAUGCUUUAAAUUGAAAUUCACACACCCUCUUUCCUUAUUUGUUAACUUAAAUUUUGUCUUUAGUUUAAAUUUUGUUUUUUUGUGAAUGUGUUAACCAAAAAAGGAUGUGGAUUUCAAUUUGGAGUGUGUGAAUUUCACAUCCCUAUAACAGUUAGAUGAGUUAUCCCCACUCCUAGAAUAAGAGGAACAUAUUGACUGAAUAGUGGUACCUUUUCCACACCUAAACCCUACAGUUAGCAGCACCAUCUGCAAAUAAAGCUUGUAUGGCACUGUAGAAUCUUCAAGUCGCUCCAGGCCUCACCUAAUGAGAGCUGAAGCAUUUAAUCUGCAGCAGAAUGAUUCCCCUUCACAUCCAUAUUCAUCAUCCUGCAUGAUUUUUCUGCCUUAAAGUCGGGCUCUGAGAUACCCAUAGAAGAACACUCACCAAUCUGGUAAUCCCUUUCAUCAACUAAAGAUUUCAUAUAGGAGCAUGGUCUCUCCUCACCUUCAAUACUAGAUAUCGACUCUUGCCCUGAACCAAAUGUCAACUCAAAAGAUGGUGGACCAACAGGUUGUGUUCUCAUCUGCACUGACCGUAAGAGUGCAGCCCUCCUUAAGUCAGCUGAGUGGCAAAUGUCACUAGGUGAUGAUGGGAAUCGCCCCUCUGAAUCAGAGCCUCGUUGACGGGACUGAGAGCAGUUGAAAUUAGUGAGAGCACAGCUAUGUGAGGGAUGCGAACUAGUCGUACAAGUUGAAGGAAACCCAGUAAGUGGUCUUUGGUACCUAUAUGGAGAGACUGGACUAGAAGGGGUGCUGUCAGGUUGUGAGGAGAAUGUGUUUAUGGGGUUCUCACAAAAUCUCGAGUCGUCUGAGUCCUCUGACAUUGGUGAAUAUUCUAAGGGCAUCUCAUCCCUGGAAACAUAUAGUUACACAAAACAAAAAUAAAGUGAGCAGAAGAUUAAAACGGAGAAAGCAAUGUGAUCAUCAUUGCAGGUCUAACAUUUUAAGGAAGAAAACAAGGGCAGGAACAGAUGCUCAGAUCAUCGAUGCUAAUGUCUUCUAUCUGACUUAAAUCAAGCUGUCUAAUUAUCCAGAAAAGUUCAACAACAAAAUCAUACUAGUAUGCAAAUAUGCAAUUAGAGUAAUUUUGGAAAGAGAAAAGGAUACCAAACGUGCAGCCAAUGUUAUCUGCAUUUCCAGAAAUUUUUUCAUAGCAGGCAGACUUAAUUCAGAGCAACAUAAAGGAAAGCUACCUAUGUCCUCUCUCAAGAGUUGUGUACCACUACCUACCUAUGACCCAAACUGAAAUUACCCAGCUGGUUUACCAAGAUUGAGUUCACUUUACUAAGAAAUAUUAUGAUACACUUGCAACUCAAGCUAAUACUUGCAAACUCAAGAAGAUACAGUUGAAGGUGGAGUAGUAAGUAAGUUCAUUACCACAUGAAGCGAGGAUGAAAAAUGCAGAAAAUGAGGGUAUGGUAUAAGAAGUUACCUAGCAUAAAACAUGGUCUCAGACCUUGCUGGAGAUUCCAUGAGAUUGUCAGGGAGUGGAUCUCCAACUGUAAGUCCAUUCAAACUAGAUGCCAUGAUCUGCACAAGAACCAAUAAUGAGGGAUUUUGAAACAGCCAUACAAGUGAACACUAUGUCAUGUUUAUCAAAAGAAUCUGUUUCGACUGGGCAAUGCUGCCUCAAUGAAUUAGAGUGGUGGAUGAUCUUUAAUUGAAUAAGCCAUCAAUCAUAAAAGAGGAUUCUACCGCCUUCAAAAAAAGAAAAAAAGAAAAAAAAAGAGGAUUCUUUGAAAGUUAAAUCCCAGUAAAGUUUGAUUCUUGAAAGGAAAAAAAAGGGAGAUUGAUUGAAGCAAUCAAAGUAAGAAUGAAAAUGGAAACCUUAAAAAUAACCAAGAAGGAGAAGAUGGACCUCGCUGAGAUAACGCUUGUGAGAGUGGAAAUUGUCGAGGUAGACCUCAUCUUCAGGAUCUCUGCUUCGCUUUCCAGAUGCGGGGGAUGAUGUCGAUGACGAUGGUGAAGAUGAACAUUCUGAAGCUGCUCCUCCUGCUGAGCUCGGCUCUGGACGCAUUACUCUGCUCUCUCUCUCUCUCUCUCUCUCUCUCUCUCUCUCUCUCAUUCGCCAAACACACUAUAACUACAGUAUCAGGUAGAAACCAGACGACAUCGUUUCCCUCGCCCACUUAUUAUUACGUUUUUAGAUUAAAGUAAAUUAUAAUUUUCACGAAAAUUUGAAAGUAAUGAGAAUUACAUCUAUGAAUUUAAAUUUUAUUAAUUGAGAAUUUCAUUGUUUAAAUUUCAUGAUAUAGAAUUUUAAAAUUAUAAGAAUUAAUAUUUAGACUAACCUCAGUUGAGGGAAUUAAUAAAUGACGUAUAUUUUGUGAGAAAUUCAAAUUGGGAAUUUAUAUCUAAAUUCCACUAUUAUUUUUCUGUGGAAAUUACAAAUUCCACGGGAUAAGAAUCCAAACGGUGGAAAGAGUCUAAAGCAAUUGGGAAUUCCUCAUUUUUGAUUAAAUUUUCCAUAAUUCACCCGCAUCCAAACACACGCUAUGCACGAUGUGUGAGAAAUUUCUUUUUUAACUUCCACACUAUUUAUUCUUUAGGUUCCCAUGAUCCUAUCCCAACUUUGUUCUAAAGCAACUCUUCAUAGAAGCACAAAAAAUUAGAAGCGAGGACAAUUCACUUAUUUGGAAGAAAACCGAAUGAUAACGAAGAAAAAUAUUCUUGCAUUUCUUAUAUAUAGAUCUCACAUUAUUCGGGAGAGGAGGUGAUAUGUCUUAGAUGUGCAAAGACACCUCCUCAUACUGAGAUGCGGUUUGGGUUAGGAAUCCAUAAUAAAUUCGAGAAUACGAGGCUUAAAGCAAACAAUAUUUUGUUGUGCGUGUGGGCAGUUACAAAUAUGCAUGCUGUUACAAGUGAAUGAUUCAACCUCCUUAUUAUUGAUUCCUGAAUACUCAUGAAUUUGAUUACAAAUGGAAAUAGGGGAGGGCGGAAGAUGAGUUUAGAAAUCAACCAUCCGACUAAGUAAAUGUAGCUAUGAAAUAAAUAAUAGUCGUUGGAAUAAUGAUAGUAAUUCCAUUAGGGGAAGGGAAUAAAUCAUCAACCACAUGGGAAAUAUGAAGAAAUACUUGUAUACAUGGAUGGUAAGUUAGUACACAAUACUAUUUUAGUCAUUCACAUGUAGGGAUCACCAUACAUCUAUAUCUAAAAUCAUCUGCACUUAAUUGCUAGUCCAAAGGGAAACUCAAGAACGCGCCUAAAAAAAAACCCUAGACUUUGUUGAGUUUUUCUCAUAUGCUCGUCCGGCUGCACAGGCUUCUGGCCUCGUCGACGUUCGUCGUGUGUGGCCGGAUGGGCUGCUAGUAUAGAAGUUUGCUAUGAGGACUUGUUAGGGCUGAAUGGGGUAAAGUUUUGUUGGCUUCAGUCGAUGGCGGCGACGACACGGGUGGUGGUUUCGUGGUCGAUGGUGGUGUCAAACCGAUUCCGGCCGGAUCUCGUUGCACGUAUUGGUUGUCUGGGCCGAUCAAGGUCGUGGGUUUGUGGUCGGAUCCACCCGGAUCUUGCCGGAAACUCAUUGCUGAAUGUUUGUGAUCGGGUUUCUGUGCGUGUAGGUGAGGUCGGAGGCGGUUCUUUCUUUGGGUUGAUGUGGUUGGGGGUGGAGAUGGUGGGGAGGUUGCGACAACCCUUUGUUACAGACGGUGUCUCGACAGUGAUUGAGAUCCGAAAGCGGCGGAAGUGGCGGAGCGACGGGGUUGUAGGUUCACCGGUGGAGACAAGGUUUCCUGUGCAAGACUCGACUUGGGAUGAGGUCCAUGCUUUGACCCGUUGGGCCUUGGUACAGUUUUGGGCUUCUUCUAGACCUAUUGUGGAUUGGGUUUGGGAUUCUACCCUAGGUCCAUUCUAUUUUUCUUUUUUGCAAUUUUAUUUAGAAAUUUUGUUUUACUAUAUUUUAAUUGUAGUUCUAAGCGGCUUUUUGUCGCCAAUAAUACUCUAUCACCAUUUGAUAGGGUGCCAAGGGCCUUGUGCCGGUCUAUGCACUUUGUGUGCCUUAUCUGUUCUAGGUAGGCGGCGCGUCGUUUGCUUGGUCAAAUGAGUGCAACCUCCUAGUGGCAGGAUGAAACUUAGUGUCGUUGGGAUUAUUAUCCGACAGCAACAUAGUAGGAAAACUGUAUUAUUGGAUAUUAGGAUAUGUAAACGUGUUACAUGUCUACUGAUCUUUCUAUUAUGUCACCACUGUGACAAAACAAAUGAAGUUGUCUUUAGAAUAGUACUCUUUGCUAGUUAAUGUUUGUUUGAAUACAUGUACUUUGGAGUUGCAGAAAUUCUCGUUAUUAUUUCGGGACUUCUAUAUGUUUAUUGUAAUCAAGGAUUUAGGCUUCAUGUUCCAGUUGGUGCUUGUUUGAAUACAUGUAUUUUGUAGUUGCAGAAAUUCUCGUUAUUAUUUCGGGACUUCUAUAUGCUUAUUGUAAUCAGGGGUUUAGGCUUCAUGUUUCCCCUUUGUAUUCGACAGUUUUAUUAAUGAAAUAAAAGCUUAAAAACAGUCGCACCAGCCAUUUAUUAUAUAAAAAAAAAACCAUCCAUAUAAUAUGGAAUCCCUACACGGCGUGUACUAUGGUUAACCUUCAGCUUGGAUUAUCCUUUAUCACAUCACACGUUGACCGUGAUACCUAUUCUUACAUUUCUUAGACAUCCCAAUCAAUCCAGUAUUGGUUUGUAUCAAAAAAAUCAGUCCAUGAUGAAGGAUUAAUGGUAGAGAUAAAGAGAUGGCAAAAGAAUCAUCUUAUUUAUUGAUAGGAGCCCUUUAUAUAGGGAAUUACACAAUACCAAUAUGGUAAGGAUAUGAAUACAUAGAUCUAGUCUAACUACAUAUCCUAUUGGCAUAAGGCCAAGGCACACAGUAGAGAAUAUCCUAGAACACUCCCCCUUGUGCCGCGCGCUGAUAUGCCGAUGGUGCUGAUCUGUUGCCUUGUCAAAAACCUCGUCAAGUCACAAAAACCCUGUGGGAGAAAAACUGAACCUUGAUCGUAGGAGAAAAAGAGUACAACGCACCCUUCACAUUUGAUAGUGACAUGUAUGUAUGUGCUAGACUCCCCCUGAAGUUCGCACCUCCCCCUGAUCUUUACAUCAAUCAUAGGGCUCUUCCUGAUUCUUACUAAUCACGGAAGUUUCAAAAACUUAGCAUGUCAAUGCUCUUUAACAUGUCUUCAAAUGUGGCAUUAGACAAUGAUUAACUAAAUCAUGCCGUAUUGUCCUCAAAUGAUCUUUUACACUUAGAUCUUGAGGAGAAGGUCGCUUGUGAACUCAAAACAUAAGUUCGUGCAGGAAAUCAGAUUUCCGCGCAGCAUGACCUUCAAUUACUAGAACAGUCGUAACUUCCUCUAGGAAAUACAUAUGAACGAACCGUAAACGGUUUUGGAAACUAGACUCAUUUAGCUUUCCAACCGUAUAUUACACACAUUCUGGUUCAUCAGGAGCUGUUCACAAAAUUCCGUCGAAGUUGACUGUUUUGCCAAAAUCAGAUUCUCGGACAGAUUCGUCCUACUUUACGAAAACGGCCAUAACUCACUCAAUAUAAUAGGUAUGAUCAAAUGGUUGGUGUCUCUGGAAAGUAGACACAUAGACCUUUCCAAUGGUAUCAAUUUUACCAUAUUCCAGUGAGUGAGGUUUCCUGUAAGUCUCGUGGAGCUUGACCUACGAAACUUGGCAGAUUCUGAUUUCGCUAUUGAUGUGUCUUUCUUAUGUAGGGAUAGAAUAAGCCUAAACCUUUCAUACCAUUAAGUAUUGAAAAGGAGGUACUGCCAUUACAUUGGCGUUGCGUGGGCCCAUAGCUACACUUAGCUUUACAACUUUUCAUAGCGAAUGAGAUGUCUAAGUCUUCGUAUUGUGUUGAGUACAUUGAUGCGUCUAAUUGUACUUAGAUGGGAACUCCAUCUCUUAACACAUAUUUGUCAUCUUGCUUUAGACAAAACAACGGAUCUCUCUUUAGAGCAAGACCUUGACUAAUCAUGGGAGUAUAUGUAGGCCUCACUAGUUAUAGAGCGCCUAAGCCGAUUGAUGGAAAAUCAUCAUCAAUACAGUCAUCGAGUGCCUUAUCGAGACCAUGUCUUCCCAAGAUCUUUUUCUUCGGAUGUUGAUACAUAUUGGCAUCUCUUGAUCCAUCAAGAGUCCNNNNNNNNNNNNNNNNNNNNNNNNNNNNNNNNNNNNNNNNNNNNNNNNNNNNNNNNNNNNNNNNNNNNNNNNNNNNNNNNNNNNNNNNNNNNNNNNNNNNNNNNNNNNNNNNNNNNNNNNNNNNNNNNNNNNNNNNNNNNNNNNNNNNNNNNNNNNNNNNNNNNNNNNNNNNNNNNNNNNNNNNNNNNNNNNNNNNNNNNNNNNNNNNNNNNNNNNNNNNNNNNNNNNNNNNNNNNNNNNNNNNNNNNNNNNNNNNNNNNNNNNNNNNNNNNNNNNNNNNNNNNNNNNNNNNNNNNNNNNNNNNNNNNNNNNNNNNNNNNNNNNNNNNNNNNNNNNNNNNNNNNNNNNNNNNNNNNNNNNNNNNNNNNNNNNNNNNNNNNNNNNNNNNNNNNNNNNNNNNNNNNNNNNNNNNNNNNNNNNNNNNNNNNNNNNNNNNNNNNNNNNNNNNNNNNNNNNNNNNNNNNNNNNNNNNNNNNNNNNNNNNNNNNNNNNNNNNNNNNNNNNNNNNNNNNNNNNNNNNNNNNNNNNNNNNNNNNNNNNNNNNNNNNNNNNNNNNNNNNNNNNNNNNNNNNNNNNNNNNNNNNNNNNNNNNNNNNNNNNNNNNNNNNNNNNNNNNNNNNNNNNNNNNNNNNNNNNNNNNNNNNNNNNNNNNNNNNNNNNNNNNNNNNNNNNNNNNNNNNNNNNNNNNNNNNNNNNNNNNNNNNNNNNNNNNNNNNNNNNNNNNNNNNNNNNNNNNNNNNNNNNNNNNNNNNNNNNNNNNNNNNNNNNNNNNNNNNNNNNNNNNNNNNNNNNNNNNNNNNNNNNNNNNNNNNNNNNNNNNNNNNNNNNNNNNNNNNNNNNNNNNNNNNNNNNNNNNNNNNNNNNNNNNNNNNNNNNNNNNNNNNNNNNNNACGUCGAUACAACGCCUUAGUACAUAUAACUUGGAACGAAAAUCAAUGUCUAGCCGAUGACAUCAAAGUCAUGGGUAGCUAGAGUAGGAUCUGAAUCUUUGAUAUUCGCGUUCAUGAGGAUGACGUUCUUGUCCUCAUAUUGAUUUUCCAUACCUUUUUGUAUGCAUUCACAAUUUAAAGGAGCUUGACAAUCUUGAACCAGUGAUCCGAAGAUCCACAACGGUUGCAUUAAUGUCAUGAGCUGACGUGAGUAGUUUUUGACAAAAUAGUGUCUAGACCGGGAGUGUCGCUAUUAGAGCCGGCAACACCUCCCCCUCUUUGCUAGACAUCGGCACGACGUUUUCUGCCGUUGCCAUGACCCAUAUUGUUGUCCCCACAUUAGGGGAUAAUCCCAAAUAAGUUUAUCACAUUAGCGUAUAUACAAUUCUCGUUUGUAUGAUCAAAAUCAAGUCUUGUUGGUAAUUCCACACCAACUUGGAGGACCUAGAGAACUUGAUGAUGAUCGAAUCCGCUAAAGAUUAUGGAUCAUGAUGCCACAAAAGAUCAUCGACAAUAUGUAGUCAAUUAAGGUGGUAAGCAAUCCACUUGACUAAUAACUCAACAAGUAGAGUUAUAUGAACGUUUCGAGAAAUGCUCCAUGAGUGCAUUCCACAGUACUUUGUGGUCAUUACUUUUUGCACAGGUUGCCAUUGAAGGCUUUUGUCGAUGUGGCGCUUCAAAAACUUUGAGCGCAUGAGGUGUGAAAUCUUGGCAUCUAGGCUUGUUAGCCUGGGGGUCAAAACAUGUGGUUUAAUCCUUUCCAAUGAAAGGUUCCACAGAUACCAAGCGAAGAUCCGCCUUAGGCAUCUAGUACGUUAAAACUCAAAGGAGCAGAAUGUUACAUUGCUCUUGCAUACAAAACCAAGCUGUUAUGAGACUCGAUAGAGGUCACAAACGAUGUUUUUAAUGGUUUGUCCUUCGGAUUGAUCAUACACAAUCCGGAAAAGCCGCGAAUUGAUCAAACACAAUUCGGAAAAAGGCCUCGGAUUGAUCAAACACAAUCCGGUGAAAGGUCGGGGUUGAUCAAACACAACCCGGACAAAGAAACAAGAGUGAUCCAACAUACUCUUGANNNNNNNNNNNNNNNNNNNNNNNNNNNNNNNNNNNNNNNNNNNNNNNNNNNNNNNNNNNGGAGCAAGGGAAGGUGGUGAACCGGUGGUCGGUAGCGGCGGCGGUCUGGAAUUUUCCGGCGGCCGGUUCGGAGACUUUCCGGCCGGUUCUCAGGGUGAGGCCGGCGGCGUUGGAUCCGUGACGGAAAGAGCUUUCUGGGGAUAUAAAAUUCCGGCGGAGGGCAGUCGGAAUUUUGGUCGGAAAUCGGGAAAAACAAGGCUGCCCGAUUUUAGGGUUUUGGUUUUUAGGGUUUGGAAAAAAAAUGGUAGGCUAUUGGCUCUAGGGUUAGAACAAAGUGCAUGAUAACGUGAUGAAGGAUUAAUGGUAGAGAUAAAGAGAUGGCAAGAGAAUCAUCUUAUUCAUUGAUAGGAGCCCUUUAUAUAGAGAAUUACACAAUACCAAUAUGGUAAGGAUAUGAAUACAUAGAUCUAGUCUAACUACAUAUCCUAUUGGCAUAAGGCCAAGACACACAUAGAGAAUAUCUUAGAACAGUCCAAUAUUUGUAGGUGAUUUAUAAUCUUAUUUAGUUGGACCGGUUUUAUCUUAUCCACUUAAGGAAUCACCAAGUAUGUAACAGAUGGCAACAUAUAUAUGAUUGUGAUUGGUUUUUACUUUUUCAGAUUAUUUUUUUGUUUCAACAAAAAAUGAUAAAUUGGAAGAGAGAGUUGCAUAGUUAGUUCUCGGGAGAAAAGGCGAGGAAAGCGACCCGACUGUGACUCUGACAGUGACACUCCCUCCAUCUAUAUAAGACCAUUGGCAGCCGGAGCAGUUAGUCGCAGAGGAGAAUGAAGUACGUUUUAGUGACCGGAGGUGUGGUGAGUGGUCUCGGAAAAGGAGUCACUGCCAGCAGCAUCGGCGUCGUUCUCAGAGCCUGUGGCCUUCGCGUCACCUGCAUCAAAAUUGGUUCAUUUUCUCUCUCUAAACCCCUCCAUUAACAAGUUUGUUUAUUUUGGAUGAUAAUCUUGGACAUGUUGCUUACUCUAUUUGCCAACAAUCUGCAGAUCCCUACUUGAAUACUGAUGCUGGUACCAUGUCUCCCUUUGAACACGGCGAGGUUUUUGUUCUUGAUGAUGGUGGAGAGGUAUUUCCCUCUUUCCAAUACUCUUCUACAUUACCAUCCAUUAUUAUGCUUUUCACCUUAAAACUCUGUUCUUCCUA
rnacentral:lncRNA from 1 species